rnacentral:rRNA from 1 species
UGGGGAAUUUUGGACAAUGGGCGAAAGCCUGAUCCAGCAAUGCCGCGUGUGUGAAGAAGGCCUUCGGGUUGUAAAGCACUUUUGUCCGGAAAGAAAUCCUUGGCUCUAAUACAGUCGGGGGAUGACGGUACCGGAAGAAUAAGCACCGGCUAACUACGUGCCAGCAGCCGCGGUAAUACGUAGGGUGCAAGCGUUAAUCGGAAUUACUGGGCGUAAGCGUGCGCAGGCGGUUUGCUAAGACCGAUGUGAAAUCCCCGGGCUCAACCUGGGAACUGCAUUGGUGACUGGCAGGCUAGAGUAUGGCAGAGGGGGGUAGAAUUCCACGUGUAGCAGUGAAAUGCGUAGAGAUGUGGAGGAAUACCGAUGGCGAAGGCAGCCCCCUGGGCCAAUACUGACGCUCGUGCACGAAAGCGUGGGGAGCAAAACAGGAUUAGAUACCCUGGGUAGUCCACGCCCUAAACGAUGUCAACUAGUUGUUGGGGAUUCAUUCCUUAGUAACGUAGCUAACGCGUGAAGUUGACCGCCUGGGGAGUAC